ACAUCCAUGCAUGCGCAAAUUUAGCUCCUCUCAUUGGCCACGGCUUACACCCCGUUCUCGCAAGUGUGAACGAAAUUCCCGUAUUUUAUGCCCUUACGACUACGCCUCUAUGCCCUUUACGCUGCCGUCUGAACACAGCCUAACGCUCUAAUACCUCUCCGCCUCAGAGGCUGCACGUAGCGCCGGCACUUUCCUUUGUGGAACCCGCGUAUUUCUUCUUUUAAAAUGCAAAGUAGGCAGUUUGGACUGGUAAGAAUACCCACACGAUAGGGAUGGCUCGCCAAGCAGACGUGACCAGUUUCAAGCCUAAAACUGGCCACAGCUGUUCCCUGUGGUUUGUAUGGUAAUUUCCUUUCCAAGAUGUCCCUCUAGCUAUUGGUUGAGAGAGGCAUCAUAAGUUCACUUCUCCGUUUUCGUUUCAAAGAUUUAAGAAUGUAUAAUCUUGUAGAAUGGUAAGAACAAUUUCUGGGUAUCUUUUGAACAACUUCUGUACCAGUUUUUUUGCAAGCUUGGCAAAAUUUUAAAGUUUGGCAGCCAAUGAAUGAACGUGAGAGGCAGCAGCGCAUCUUAACUGCGCAACUGGCAGGAUAGUAAAAAGGAGAAAUUUUAAUUCCAGGUUAUAAAUUCUUUCGAAUUUCAUUUUGUGUACUCAGAUAGACAAUAACUAUGCCUCACAUAUAGGUGCGCGAACAAUAUGAGAAGAUGUCAGUAUUUGAGAGGGGACGUGUAGUUGGCCUCAAAGAACCCGGUUGUUGUAAUCAGAAAACCUCCCGACAUUUGGAUAGGAGCGAUGUCGCUAUUAGACGAUGUUGGCAGGAAUGGGUGAACAAUGGUCGAACUGCCGACUAAAACUGAACUCUAGACACCGACAAGCCCGUUUGCAACGGUGUAGGGCACAUUCGAACUGGAAUGACACUGAUUGGAGUAGAAUUGUCUUCGGUGCUCAGUUCCUCUUCUAAAUGAGUCCCGAUGACAUAUCUGGAAACGCCCCGUACAGUAGUGAGAUACCAACCUGACUGUCAUCCACCAUACGGCCCGAGAACCAGAAGUGAUGGGCUGUGGUGCCAUUUCAUUUAAUAGCAGGACCCCUUUGGCUGCCAUCCACUGCUCCUUUGCAGCACAACGAUACGUCGACGAUAUUUUGCGGCUCGUUGUAUUACAAUUCAUAUCAGCCAUUCUGAGCUUACAUAUCAGCAAGAUACAUAGUUUCUACUGCUUGUCUUCGUGCUUACCUAAUACUAACUUUACCAGCAAGGACCCCGGAUCUCUCUUCCAUUGGAACGUUUUAGAGAACGUCCAUUGAACGUCUUCAUUUCAACGUUUUGGAGUAUUGUUGACAAGGCCCUCUAACCAGCUCGGAAUUUUGCCGAUCUAACGUGGCAAUUGGACAGAAUUUGGUCUGAUAUCCAGCUGGAGGACAUUCACCAACUCUAUCAAUCAGUGCCGAGUAGCAUUCAAGAUCAAGAUCAGAUGCUUAAGGACCAGAUGUCGACCAACGUGUGUAAACAGAAUUCGUAAGAUUUCUCUACAGUUGUGUCACAUUUUUGCUCACACUGCGUGUUUCCCUUUGUAAGACCGCAUGUUUCCCUUGCUGUCCUAACCUUUCUCGAUACAGAGCGUGUUUCACUGUUGUUCUAGACAGCACAUUCUCCAGAUCUCUCUCCAACUGAGGCCAUCUAGACAUGGUGAUUUUAACUUAAAACAAAAUUCAACAUUACAUUGUCGCUUUUUUUUUUUUUUUAAGAAAAAUUUGUAUGCCUUUGAAGCAAACGUUAUACAAGUGUUUCUUCUUCAACAAGUAAAAGCAUUUCUUGUUACAUUCUAACAUAAAAAAUAAGUAGCAUGUAUCGAAUCCUGCCUCAAUGUAUAAAGCUUUUCUUUAAAGCAGAUGCUAAUUUAUGUUUGAAAUUAGUUUACGUUUCAGUUUAAGUUGACAAGCUUCUUUAAUAUCUAAAAUAUGAUCCUGUUAUUUGGUUUCUUUGUUGUAAUUUUAGUUCCCAGAUUGCUUGCUAAAAGGCGGAUUGUACCUCAGCAUAAAAAAAAAUUGACGCCCUA
rnacentral:misc_RNA from 1 species